UACCCCUUCUUUUUCUCUAUCGUCGUCUCUGCGAACCCUAGCUUUUCACUCUCUCUGUGCUUCGAUCAAAGCUCGCAUUUUUUAACUUUGAGCAUGGCUUCCGGAUCAUCGGGUCGUAACAACUCUGCUUCGAAAGGGUUUGAUUUCGCCACCACCGAUGACAUUGUUUGCUCGUACGAGGACUACAACAAUCAAGAUAAUUAUAAUGGAAGGCACUCCGAUUCCGUGAUCGGAUCCAAUUCUGCUAAGCUUUGAAGAACAAUGCAGUGGUCCAGAGAAAGGUGACUAGCUAGAAUUUGGGCCUUGAGUUCUUCUCAAGGCCUCUCGUUUCCGCGCACACACAAAACUAUCUCAGUUUGCUUCAAUACUGAAUUUUGCUUGUUGUAGGAUAGUGUUGGGCAGCGGACCUUGGUUAUUUACUUGUAAAAUGCAGUGGUUUCCAAUUGGGUCACCCUAAAAUCCAUUUUAUUUUUCACAUGUUAGUAGUCUGAAAGUCUCUUCUCACUGCUCUGUGGAUACCUUUACUAUAGUUAAUGUCUGCUGGAUUUGUAUGUAAGCCAUUUUGUUUGUUGAGUUAGUUACCAUCCUCAUAUUGUUUACGCAAAAUAUUUUUAAAGUUAACAUUAACAUUGGUGGUUCAGUGCAAGUUUUCUUUCCUUCCUAGACUUGCCAAAUUCCCCCAACCCAAAAUGGGAAAAUCACCAAUCUAAUUUUAUGUGCAUUGCUGUUUCCUGCUUCUGAUCCUUGAGAUUGAAACUCUUUAAUGAUGGCUACUGCAACCGUCUCUUUUGCUGGUCCAUGUUAUGCUCUAGAGGACCCCACUCUUCCCAAGCCUUGGAAAGGGCUAGUUGAUUGUAAAACUGGUUAUCUUUACUUCUGGAAUCCGGAGACCAAUGUCACUCAGUGUGAGAAGCCCGCUGCCUCUUCACACACGGGCUCAGCUCCACCACAAAAGCUGUCUGCAGCACCUGUAAGUUCUUCGGUUCAAGUUGAACAAUCUUCUCAUGGACAUUGUGACAGUAUCUUCAACGAUGAUGACGAUAGAUAUAAUGGAGGUAGCAAUAGUCGGUCUAAGCUUGAUACAGGAACACGGAGUUAUCAGAGUGGGAAAGGUGGAUCAGAUAAUUCUCAAAAUGUUCCUAAUGAGGAGAUAGGCGUUGGACAUGGAGGGUCUUUUGGCAGAGGUUAUGGCUUUUGGCUGUUGGAAAUGGCCCAUCUGUCGAAUCUUAUCGCCGUCAGCAUGAAAUUACUAUUAGUGGAGAUAAUGUACCCCCUCCUUUAACAUCAUUUGAAGCUACUGGUUUUCCUUCAGAGCUUCUUCGAGAGACACACGAGCACCACCACCGACCACCACCAGCCAUUGUUUCUCCGAUUCAGAAACAUGAACGCAUCUCCGGCGGCAGAUUUCUUCUACGGCGAGGUCGUUUGAUUCCGAUUUCUUUGUGAGUUCAAUUCAUCAUCUCUCUCUCUACACUCUCUCUCUACAUAUAUAAAUCAUUCAUAUAUAAUUUCUAAUUUGUCUGAUUAUUUUCUUAAUUGAUUAUUUUCUCCAUAAAUCGUUUUCUAAUUUCUGAUUAUUUUCUUAACUGAUCUGUAGUUUAAAUUACACAAAUCUAGAUCUCUCCUCUCAUUCACCAAGUAACUAAUUCGCACUUCGAGAGAGAGAAAUGAGACAGCGAUUUCAUAUUUGAUCGAACAUUGGUUUGGAGGAAAUUGAAACCCUUAGAUUUGUCUAAAAUUGUUGUGUUUUGUUGCUUUGUUUCUGCAUCGAUUCACCGAACUGCAUCAUUCUCUCCUGUGGUUGAAGAAAACUCAUUAACAAAUUUUUAAUUCUAUUUUUUUUUGUCUUUUCAAAUUCAUAAAAAUAAAGGGAAAAUUAUAAACAUUAGAACAAGAGUUGAGUUUUUGAAUGGGUUAAUACCAGAAAUAACAGGUUGAACACUGUUGAGGACCAUGGUAAUGGCAAGAAGGUAAAUCAAAUGAGCAACAGCUUUUUGCAUGUCUUUGCUCUCUGUGAGAAUGACAACAAAAUGGUUUCUAGUAGUCAUUAUAAUUGACAUGAACAAUAUCCCUAUUAGAAGAGACUCAGUCACUGUUACAAAGACUGAGUAUUUUGCUCCCUUGGGAUGUUUUGAUCCUAGCUCAUUUGAAACCCUAACACUGUCAUGAAGGAAAAAAAAUUAAAUAAAUUGUUCAAAAGAAACCAAGAAUGAAAAUUAGAUCAAUACCUUGCAAUGAAAUUUGACAGGGAAAGUAAAUGUAUCAAAAGAGAAUCAAUAAAUGCAACAUAAAUUUUUUCAUAAAAGUGCAUAGAAUGCGGCUAGGAUAUCCUACUAUUGCAUGCAUUUUGGGUAUUUUUUUGAAAAUUUUCAUCAGUACUUAAAAUAAAAUUCAAAAGAUCGAUACAACACAAUGGAAUUUGAAAGGGAAAUAAAAUAUAUAUGUGAAGAGGAGAACAAAAAAAUGCUAGUAACGGAUAUGGAAUUUUUUUUUUUUUUUUAAAGUAUACAUGUAGUCAGGAUGAAUGUAGUGUUUUAAUCCAAGCUCGUUUGAAGCAGGAUGAAAAAUAAGUGCUACUCCAUGGGGUAGGAGAAGAUUUUAUGAAGGGAUUUUUUAGGAUUCCAAUGGCUAAAACUUUUCAACAAGAUUCUGGAUAAUUCUAAAUACACCCACAAAAUUUCUCAAUACACCCAUUUUAUGAGACAAUUCCCCAAAUAGUGGGUUUAUUCAAUAUUGCCACUAAUUACAAGUGUGAACCCUAUGAAUAAUAAUACAGUGUAGAGAUAGGAAGGGGGUAAUACCAGGAAGGAGGUGAAGACAGCAAAGAAGGCCCCGAAUCCAAGAAUAACAGAGUACCCAACACCUUGAUUUAAAACUACUUUCCCUCCAAAGAAACUGCUUUGUCUCACACAACUGUCCCCCGUGCUUGAGUAAAUACUUGGCGGCGAACACAAACAGCGGACAAUUUGGCAGAGAAGAAGCCAUGAAGCCACUGCUCUUCUCCAACUUCAACUGUCAGAGUCUGGCACUCUGUUUGUGUGGGAAUUUAUAUACACAUAGAGGAACUGAUUUGCUUUAUUGUGACGGUAUACACAAUAUGGUUCUAGUCGAACUAUGAAAGUUUCUCUCGUUGCUUGCUAUGAGAGGCAUGUCUUGGAUGGCAUUGAUGCUUUCAGUGGUCACUCUCUUGGGUUUGAAUUAUAUAUAUAAAUAUGUAUAUGUGGCAUGUCAAUUAUAUAUGUUUUGUCACUUGAAAAAUAGAUUUUUUUUUUUAUUUCCCAAAUUAGGUUCUUUUACUUCUUAAAAAAGGAAAAAUGUGUGCGCCUUGUAUUUGUCCUACAUUGGAGCAGAUACUGCUUGAAGGUUAGACUCUUUUUUUUGGGUGUUUGGUCAGUUUGACCCUUAAAAAACCCGUGGGUGCCCUUUUCCUUCUCUGUUAAAAAUACACGCUGAUUUUUAUGUUA